rnacentral:lncRNA from 1 species
AUGGAGGUCUCCAGCACUAAUUGUGGAUUUGUUUUUCUUUUUGCUUCUGGCAAUUUUGUUUCAUGUAUUUUGCAGCUCUGCUUAUUAGGGCAUUUGGCCAUAUAUGGAGGCUGUUUUGGUUGUCACAACUACAUGGAGGGUACUACUGCAUCCAGUUGGUAGAAGUCAGGAAUGCUAAUAAACAAUGCACAUAACAGCUAUGCACACACAAAAAAUUAUCCAGCCCAAAUUAAAUUUGUUGGCCUUGAUUACCUUUUACCUUCAAAUUAGUUUAGCCCUACUGUUAAUGUAACACACUUUGUGGGGGUCUUUGUGCAAACCCUGUGUAUUCAAUUCAAUCUCACCUCUCUGUUAGGUUGGAACUCAAAUAUCCCUCAACACUGAACUCUGACUGAUUCAUUCUAUUUGGUAGUCAUUCUUUGUCCACCCUUGUGUAGUUUCAGUCAGUGCACAGCUAACUUAGUAUUAUUUCAAGUCUCAAGAAGAUGCUCGGCAGAUUUCUGGAGCUCUUUUCCUUUAGGAUUCUGCCCCACAAAUUCCAU